GGCAGACGGGUGAGUAACACGUGGGAACCUUCCCUUUGGUUCGGAAUAGCUCAGGAAACUUGAGGUAAUACCGGAUAAGCCCUUACGGGGAAAGAUUUAUCGCCAUAGGAUGGGCCCGCGUCGGAUUAGCUAGUUGGUGAGGUAACGGCUCACCAAGGCGACGAUCCGUAGCUGGUCUGAGAGGAUGAUCAGCCACACUGGGACUGAGACACGGCCCAGACUCAUACGGGAGGCAGCAGUGGGGAAUAUUGGACAAUGGGCGCAAGCCUGAUCCAGCCAUGCCGCGUGAGUGACGAAGGCCUUAGGGUUGUAAAGCUCUUUUGGCGGGGAAGAUAAUGACGGUACCCGCAGAAUAAGCUCCGGCUAACUUCGUGCCAGCCGCCGCGG
rnacentral:rRNA from 1 species